rnacentral:lncRNA from 1 species
GGGACAGUUUCGAGGUUCCUCCCUCUUGAGACUCGGCAGUGAGUGCAGCUUUACUCUGACGGCAGGUAGAUGUACUGUGGAGAGAAAGUCAAAUGCAGAGGAGAUCUAGCUGCAUACUAGAGACCCAAAGAAUCCAGCUGAGGCCCUGGAUCCCACAGAAGUAUCCAGCACAAGUCCAGCUGAAGAUCUAGAGCACAAGGCAGCAUCCUCCAUGAGUCCAGCCAGUGGCCUGGAGCCCACGGCAGUGUCUCAUGCUUGUCCAUAUCAAGGAUCUGCACCCAGAAGGCCCAAAGGCCAAUGGUGGAAGCCAGAAAACCUGUGCCAGUGGGGUGAAGGAUUUGUGCCACCAAGCUGAGGGAUCCACAUUGGAGCCAGGAAGUGACUCUCAUGGUGAAGAUCAGAGCUCCUCUGACGAGAACAGCAGCCACUCCCAGUGACAGCAAGACUGGAGCUCCUCCUCUGGUGAGAACAGCCAAGUUCUCAUCAGGAAAACCAGCCACAGCAGGCCUCUCCUAGAAAAUCAACAGCCCAUGAUGAGCUUCCCCUCCAGGUCUCUUUUUAUGCCAUUGACAGCAAUCCUC